ACGAAGCAAAAAUAUUGGUGAGGGACAGCGAGAUGAAUCUUCCUGAUGAUGGAUAGUCUGUGAUGACUUUCCUGAGAAUCAGGAACAAAAGAAGAUCACAAACCCACCAUUAUUUCCAGGGCUGUUUCAAGGUCUUGUUUUUGCAUGGAAUCAGUGCGAAUACUUCAUUGUGUCAAGGGAACUUCCCAGGUGUCCUACCAUGGCUGCAGGCCUGC
rnacentral:lncRNA from 1 species